UGGGUUAGAACUCGACUCAGUCCGGCCAGCGCAAUGCUGCCGGAAGAACCCCGCCACGCCGGCAGCGGGGGUCGCUGGCAGCCUGGCUGCCACCCGACCUCGCCAUGAGGUCAACAGGAACACCAGUCAAC
rnacentral:ncRNA from 1 species